rnacentral:rRNA from 1 species
GACGAACGCUGGCGGCGUGCUUAACACAUGCAAGUCGAACGGAAAGGCCCUGCUUUUGUGGGGUGCUCGAGUGGCGAACGGGUGAGUAACACGUGAGUAACCUGCCCUUGACUUUGGGAUAACUUCAGGAAACUGGGGCUAAUACCGGAUAGGAGCUCCUGCUGCAUGGUGGGGGUUGGAAAGUUUCGGCGGUUGGGGAUGGACUCGCGGCUUAUCAGCUUGUUGGUGGGGUAGUGGCUUACCAAGGCUUUGACGGGUAGCCGGCCUGAGAGGGUGACCGGCCACAUUGGGACUGAGAUACGGCCCAGACUCCUACAGGAGGCAGCAGUGGGGAAUAUUGCACAAUGGGCGGAAGCCUGAUGCAGCAACGCCGCGUGCGGGAUGACGGCCUUCGGGUUGUAAACCGCUUUCGCCUGUGACGAAGCGUGAGUGACGGUAAUGGGUAAAGAAGCACCGGCUAACUAGGUG